AUGGCCUCCGCCGUCGUUUGCAAGGGCGAGGGUGCCGCGCCAGCGGCCAGCCUCCUCAAGUCCGGUGCUCCCGUGGCCUUCUCCGCGCUCCACUCCCCCGCCGUCGCCGCCGCCCGCCGCCCGUACAACACCCGGGUCAAGGAGGUCAGCCGCUACGACGACGACAAGGACGACGACCGCGACCUCGUCAUCCCCAGCUUCUUCUCGCAGGGUAUGCUUCCGUUCCCCACCUACGUGCUCGACCCGCUCGGCGCGCAGACCAGCAUGGCCCGUCUGCUGUCUCUGAUGGAGGACGUCGCAUCUCAGACCGGCGGCCUCUCCUCCACUGCUGGUGCUGGGGCGUCGCGGCUGGGACGCUGGGUGGCCAAGGAGGACGACGACGCGGUGUACCUCAAGGUGCCGAUGCCGGGGCUGACCAAGGAGCACGUGGAGGUGCGCGCGGACAAGAACAUCCUGGUGAUCAAGGGCGAGGGCGAGAAGCAGCCCUGGGACGGCGACGACGACUCCGCGGUGCCGAGGUACAACCGCCGCAUCGAGAUGCCCUCUGCUGACGCGUACAAGAUGGACAAGAUCAAGGCCGAGAUGAAGAAUGGCGUGCUCUGGGUCACCCUGCUCAAGGUCAAGGAGGAGGAGCGCAAGGACGUCUUCCACGUCAAGGUCGAGUAG
rnacentral:rRNA from 1 species